GCAGAGAGAAACAGAACAGUGUUUAAUACACACAGACCGAUGACAGACCUCCUAGUCUGAGUCAGGUCUAGAGUCUCUGAAAUGGGAGUCUGAGUCGAGUCUGAAGUCUUUGAAAUGUAAGUCUGUGUUGAGUCUGGAGUCUUUGAGGUCUGAGUGUUAAAUGAGUCUGGAGUCUGAGGUGAGAGUCUGUUGAGUCUGGAGUCUUUAAGGUGUGAGUCUUAAAUGAGUCUGGAGUCUGAGGUGAGAGUCUGUAGAGUCUGGAGUCUUUGAGAUGUGAGUCUGUUGGAACGGAAGACGUUCUUACCUUCUGGACCUGAACUGCCCACAUGAACACAAGUUAAAUCUCAAGUUGUUAUUAGAGACUAGUAAUGUGAUUAGCAACUCAAGUUGCAGAUUAAUGUAUAUAAUGAUUCUAACAUGAA